rnacentral:rRNA from 1 species
GACGAACGCUGGCGGCGUGCUUAACACAUGCAAGUCGAACGGAAAGGCCCUGCUUUUGUGGGGUGCUCGAGUGGCGAACGGGUGAGUAACACGUGAGUAACCUGCCCUUGACUUUGGGAUAACUUCAGGAAACUGGGGCUAAUACCGGAUAGGAGCUCCUGCUGCAUGGUGGGGGUUGGACAGUUUCGGCGGUUGGGGCUGGACUCGCGGCUUAUCAGCUUGUUGGUGGGGUAGUGGCUUACCAAGGCUUUGACGGGUAGCCGGCCUGAGAGGGUGACCGGCCAGAUUGGGACUGAGAUACGGCCCAGACUCCUACGGGAUGCAGCAGUGGGGAAUAUUGCACAAUGGGCGGAAGCCUGAUGCAGCAACGCCGCGUGCGGGAUGACGGCCUUCGGGUUGUAAACCGCUUUCGCCUGUGACGAAGCGGGAGUGACGGUAAUGGGUAAAGAAGCACCGGCUAACUACGUG